CGAAGCAGGGCACGCUCUCUCUCUCUCUCUCUCUCUCUCUCUCUCUCUCUCUCCUAAGAGAUGGAGAACGAGCGCCUUCAGAUCCAACUGAUAAGGGAACUCGAAACGGAGGAAUUGCAGGUCGAAGAAGUCGAUCAUCACUCGGACGACGAUUCCAGCGAUCCUGGUGGAGAUCAUGGCAGUGUCACCUUCAACACAAGUUUGGCUUCGUUGCAUACAUAUCUUGGUGAGGUUGAGGACACACAUGGUAGGCUAGCUUUCCUUGAAGGGGGUGCCAUCUUGAAUCUACCAAUGUUCUACCUUGAAGGAGUUGUUCUGUUCCCAGAAGCAACCCUUCCUCUAACAGUUAUUCAACCUAGAUUUAAAGCUUCCAUAGAAACAGCCAUGAAGCGGUUUGAUGCGGCUAACAUGAUAGGUGUGGUUCGUGCUCGUAGGCUUCCUGAUGAUUACAGACUUCAUUUUGCAACAGUUGGGACAACUGCAGAGAUUCGGCAAUACCGGCAGUUGGAGGAUAGCUCAUUAAAUGUUGUUACUCGUGGCCUACAACGAUUUCAUUUGCGACGCCGUUGGACAGAUGUGGAUGGUGUGCCAUGGGCAGAAGUAGAGAUUAUCGAGGAAGAUGUACCUCUGAGAACUCCAAAGGAUGCAUUUGGACAACUGGCUUCAGUUAGCAACUUUCAGACUCGAAGCUACUCACGCUCAAUGCCUUCCAACUCUUCUUGUGCCAAAAAUCAUAAAUAUGAGGAGGAGGAGAAUGAUUGGGAGUGUAUGUCCGAUGCAAGCAUUGAAAGUGAUCAUUCAAGGAUGGAUAAGAGGGUGCGGCACUCUGUAACUGAUUCCUAUAAUGGAUAUGGAAGUGUUGACGAGUCCACGAGUAGUGAUGAUGAGUUUGUAAGCGAAUUGGGACAUAGGCUGGGAGGUUCUCGUCCUGAUAAUUCAGGAAGUUCACGGAAAUCACGUAUGCUUGAUGAAUCAAAUGAAAGUAAUAGCAUUGGGUUGGGGACUGAGGAGUCCACUCGAAGAAGACAAUCUUUGAAAGGUGAUGGAUGGAAGAAGGUUUGGGCUGCUGAUGAAUCAAAAUGGUUGCUUAGAGCUCCGAGGUCGUUCUGGCCUCACUGGGUGUAUCGGAUGUAUGAUCCUUAUUGUCUUGCUCGAAGGCUUGUGGAUAUGUGGAGGCAGAUAAUUGGGGUUCCAAGCAUGGAUGGUCUUAUACAUAAGCCAGAUACUUUGUCAUUUUAUAUUGCCAGUAGAAUUCCCGUGUCAGAAUCUACAAGGCAGGAGCUGCUAGAGAUUGAUGGAGUUUCUUAUAGACUACGCAGGGAAAUUCAGUUACUAGAGUGCUUCGAUCUCAUCCGCUGUAAAACCUGUCAGACUGUGAUUGCAAAGCGAAGUGAUAUGCUGGUGAUGUCAAGUGAUGGACCUCUCAAUGCUUAUGCAAACCCCCAUGGUUACGUGUACGAGGUCAUGACACUCUACAAUACAAAUGGGCUAGCACUCAUUGGUUCUCCUGUUAAAGAGCAUAGUUGGUUUCCAGGGUAUGCAUGGACGAUUACCAACUGUGCCACCUGUGAGGUGAACAUGGGCUGGCUCUUCACAGCUACCAACAAGACGCUGCAGCCAAGAUCAUUCUGGGGGAUUCGGAGUUCUCAAGUCGCAGACAGCAUGUGCUGAAACUCAAGCAUGCAAAAUCAGCAGAUUUUUUAGGUGGCCCAUCGGGGAUGCAUCUGUUGCGGAGUACUGCGGUUCCUUGUAAUGAUUCGUCUGUUACAAGGAUUCAGCUGACCAGUAUGCAGUGGUGGACCAUCCCAUUAGGGGUUCUUGACUUCGUGUCACGGGCUCACCAAGGUACACUUUUUAUCGGUCAACAUAGGCAAAUGGCUGUUCGAGGUGGGGCUAGCAGGCGUGCAUCUAGAUUGAUCAUGGUGGGUCAGGCUUCAGAUAUAUUCACUUCUUGAGUAAUUAUAGAGACCGGAUACAUGCAUCUGAAAAUGAAUGGUGUCUUGAUUGUUGUCACUAAGGGUUCAUGUCCCUGACCUGUCACGGGUCAACAUAGGCCAUAGUUGUAUGAGGUGGUACUGCCAGGUUUUCAUCUAGAUUGAUCAUUGUGGGUCAGGUUUCAGAUCGCCCACUAUGGAUAUUUUAUAUUCGCUUUUGCUUUGUUUAGUUUGCGAGAACCGGUACUCACGAUUUUGAUGUUUGGCCCAGUCAUUUUUCUA